CCUACGGGUGGCAGCAGUGAGGAAUAUUGGUCAAUGGGCGGAAGCCUGAACCAGCCAAGCCGCGUGAAGGACGAAGGUGCCAAGCAUUGUAAACUUCUUUUGUCAAGGGACAAAAUCAGGCACGAGUGCCUGACUGAGGGUACUUGAAGAAAAAGCAUCGGCUAACUCCGUGCCAGCAGCCGCGGUAAUACGGAGGAUGCGAGCGUUAUCCGGAUUUAUUGGGUUUAAAGGGUGCGUAGGCGGACUGUUAAGUCAGCGGUAAAAGCCCGGGGCUCAACCCCGGCGAGCCGUUGAAACUGGCUGUCUUGAGAUGUCGAGAGGUAUGCGGAAUGCGCGGUGUAGCGGUGAAAUGCUUAGAUAUCGCGCAGAACUCCGAUUGCGAAGGCAGCAUACCGGCGCCGCACUGACACUGAUGCUCGAAAGCGUGGGUAUCAAACAGGAUUAGAUACCCUAGUAGUC
rnacentral:rRNA from 1 species